rnacentral:rRNA from 1 species
GAUGAACGCUGGCGGCGUGCCUAACACAUGCAAGUCGAGCGGAAAGACGCGGAGCGGGCUACUCUGAAGGUAGAGGCGGGCGGGUGAGGAAAAUGAGGAUAACUUGCCUAUGGGACUGGGAUAAGAAAGGGAGACCGAAGCCGAUACGGGAUCAUAGCUGGAAGGGGGGGGUUCAAAAGAGAAAGCGGGUUUUGAUGGGACCAGGACGUAUUAGCUAGUUGGUUGGGUAAGGGCGUACCAAGGCGGCGAUGCGUAGCAGACCUGAGAGGGCGACCAGCCACCCUGGAACUGAGACACGGUCCAGACUCCUACGGGAGGCAGCAGUGGCGAAUCUUGGCCAAUGGGCGAAAGCCUGACCCAGCCACGCCGCGUGUGUGAUGAAGGUCUUCGGAUCGUAAAACUCUUUUAGUUGGGAAGAACGACUGUAUCAGUAUCUAUGCCCGUCUUGACGGUACCUACAGAAUAAGCCCCGGCUAACUACGUG